rnacentral:rRNA from 1 species
AUUGAACGCUGGCGGCAUGCUUUACACAUGCAAGUCGAACGGCAGCACGAAAGUGCUUGCUCUUUUGGUGGCGAGUGGCGACCGGGUGAGUAAUGCAUCGGAACGUACCGAGUAAUGGGGGAUAACUGUCCGAAAGGAUAGCUAAUACCGCAUACGCUUUGAGAAGGAAAGUGGGGGCUCUUCGGACCUCACGUUAUUCGAGCGGCCGAUGUCUGAUUAGCUAGUUGGUGGGGUAAAGGCCUACCAAGGCGACGAUCAGUAGCGGGUCUGAGAGGAUGAUCCGCCACACUGGGACUGAGACACGGCCCAGACUCCUACGGGAGGCAGCAGUGGGGAAUGUUGGACAAUGGGCGCAAGCCUGAUCAAGCCAUGCCGCGUGUCUGAAGAAGGCCUUCGGGUUGUAAAGGACUUUUGUUAGGGAAGAAAAGGAUAGUGUUUAUACAAUUAUCUGCUGACGGUACCUAAUGAAUAAGCACCGGCUAACUACGUG